GACAGAGGAUGCAAGCGUUAUCCGGAAUGAUUGGGCGUAAAGCGUCUGUAGGUGGCUUUUUAAGUCCGCCGUCAAAUCCCAGGGCUCAACCCUGGACAGGCGGUGGAAACUACCAAGCUGGAGUACGGUAGGGGCAGAGGGAAUUUCCGGUGGAGCGGUGAAAUGCGUAGAGAUCGGGAGGAACACCAGUGGCGAAGGCGGCUACCUGGACCAGCACUGACACUGAGGCACGAAAGCGUGGGGAGCAAACAGGA
rnacentral:rRNA from 1 species